rnacentral:rRNA from 1 species
CCUACGGGUGGCAGCAGUGAGGAAUAUUGGUCAAUGGGCUUACGCCUGAACCAGCCAAGUCGCGUGAGGGAAGACUGCCCUAUGGGUUGUAAACCUCUUUUGUCAGGGAGCAAUUGGCGCUACGUGUAGCGUUAUCGAGAGUACCUGAAGAAAAAGCAUCGGCUAACUCCGUGCCAGCAGCCGCGGUAAUACGGAGGAUGCGAGCGUUAUCCGGAUUUAUUGGGUUUAAAGGGUGCGUAGGCGGAAUGCCAAGUCAGCGGUAAAAUCGCGGGGCUCAAACUCGCUCCGCCGUUGAAACUGGCGUUCUUGAGUGCACACAGGGAUGCCGGAAUUCAUGGUGUAGCGGUGAAAGGCUUAGAUAUCAUGAAGAACUCCGAUCGCGAAGGCAAGUGUCCGGGGUGCAACUGACGCUGAGGCUCGAAAGUGCGGGUAUCAAACAGGAUUAGAUACCCUUGUAGUC